UACGUAGGGGGCAAGCGUUGUCCGGAUUUAUUGGGCGUAAAGAGCGUGUAGGCGGUUUGGUAGGUCCGUUGUGAAAACUGGAGGCUCAACCUCCAGCCUGCAGUGGGUACGGGCAGACUAGAGUGCGGUAGGGGAGAUUGGAAUUCCUGGUGUAGCGGUGGAAUGCGCAGAUAUCAGGAGGAACACCGAUGGCGAAGGCAGAUCUCUGGGCCGUAAACUGACGCUGAGGAGCGAAAGCAUGGGGGAGCGAACAGG
rnacentral:rRNA from 1 species